AUUGAACGCUGGCGGCAGGCCUAACACAUGCAAGUCGAGCGGAUGAGGGGAGCUUGCUCCUGGAUUCAGCGGCGGACGGGUGAGUAAUGCCUAGGAAUCUGCCUGGUAGUGGGGGAUAACGUCCGGAAACGGGCGCUAAUACCGCAUACGUCCUGAGGGAGAAAGUGGGGGAUCUUCGGACCUCACGCUAUCAGAUGAGCCUAGGUCGGAUUAGCUAGUUGGUGGGGUAAGGGCCUACCAAGGCGACGAUCCGUAACUGGUCUGAGAGGAUGAUCAGUCACACUGGAACUGAGACACGGUCCAGACUCCUACGGGAGGCAGCAGUGGGGAAUAUUGGACAAUGGGCGAAAGCCUGAUCCAGCCAUGCCGCGUGUGUGAAGAAGGUCUUCGGAUUGUAAAGCACUUUAAGUUGGGAGGAAGGGCAGUAAGUUAAUACCUUGCUGUUUUGACGUUACCAACAGAAAAAGCACCGGCUAACUUCGUG
rnacentral:rRNA from 1 species